AACUAUUUAAUUGGUGCAAAAGUAAUUGUGCUUUUUUGCCAUUAAAAGUAACGACAAAAACUGCAAUUACUUUCGUGCCAACCUAAUAAUGGAUGU
rnacentral:miRNA from 1 species